CUUCGGGGUUAGUGGCGGACGGGUGAGUAACACGUGGGAACGUGCCUUUAGGUUCGGAAUAGUUCCUGGAAACGGGUGGUAAUGCCGAAUGUGCCCUUCGGGGGAAAGAUUUAUCGCCUUUAGAGCGGCCCGCGUCUGAUUAGCUAGUUGGUGAGGUAAUGGCUCACCAAGGCGACGAUCAGUAGCUGGUCUGAGAGGAUGACCAGCCACAUUGGGACUGAGACACGGCCCAAACUCCUACGGGAGGCAGCAGUGGGGAAUCUUGCGCAAUGGGCGAAAGCCUGACGCAGCCAUGCCGCGUGGAUGAUGAAGGUCUUAGGAUUGUAAAAUCCUUUCACCGGUGAAGAUAAUGACUGUAGCCGGAGAAGAAGCCCCGGCUAACUUCGUGCCAGCAGCCGCGGUAAUACGAAGGGGGCUAGCGUUGCUCGGAAUUACUGGGCGUAAAGGGAGCGUAGGCGGACAUUUAAGUCAGGGGUGAAAUCCCGGAGCUCAACUUCGGAACUGCCUUUGAUACUGGGUGUCUUGAGUGUGAGAGAGGUAUGUGGAACUCCGAGUGUAGAGGUGAAAUUCGUAGAUAUUCGGAAGAACACCAGUGGCGAAGGCGACAUACUGGCUCAUUACUGACGCUGAGGCUCGAAAGCGUGGGGAGCAAACAGGAUUAGAUACCCUGGUAGUCCACGCCGUAAACGAUGAUUGCUAGUUGUCGGGGAGCUUGCUCUUCGGUGACGCAGCU
rnacentral:rRNA from 1 species